rnacentral:rRNA from 1 species
AUUGAACGCUGGCGGCAGGCUUAACACAUGCAAGUCGAGCGGAGAUGAGGUGCUUGCACCUUAUCUUAGCGGCGGACGGGUGAGUAAUGCUUAGGAAUCUGCCUAUUAGUGGGGGACAACAUUCCGAAAGGAAUGCUAAUACCGCAUACGCCCUACGGGGGAAAGCAGGGGAUCUUCGGACCUUGCGCUAAUAGAUGAGCCUAAGUCGGAUUAGCUAGUUGGGUGGGUAAAGGCCUACCAAGGCGACGAUCUGUAGCGGGUCUGAGGGGAUGAUCCGCCACACUGGGACAGAGAAACGGCCCAGACUCCUACGGGGGGCAGCAGUGGGGAAUAUUGGACCAUGGGCGGAAGCCUGAUCCAGCCAUGCCGCGUGUGUGAAGAAGGCCUUUUGGUUGUAAAGCACUUUAAGCGAGGAGGAGGCUACCUGGAUUAAUACUCUAGGAUAGUGGACGUUACUCGCAGAAUAAGCACCGGCUAACUCUGUGCCAGCCGCCGCCGUAACAC